ACGGCUCAGUAACACGUGGACAACCUACCCUCCGGACGGGUAUAAACCCGGGAAACUGGGUAUAAUCCCCGGUAGAUCUCGGUCGCUGGAAUGCUCCGAGAUCGAAAGCUCCGGCGCCAGAGGAUGGGUCUGCGGCCUAUCAGGUAGUAGUGGGUGUAGCGUACCUACUAGCCUACGACGGGUACGGGUUGUGAGAGCAAGAGCCCGGAGAUGGAUUCUGAGACACGAAUCCAGGCCCUACGGGGUGCAGCAGGCGCGAAAACUUUACAAUGCCGGCAACGGCGAUAAGGGGACCUCGAGUGCCAGGUUACAAAUCUGGCUGUCGUGAUGCCUAAAAAGCAUUGCAUAGCAAGGGCCGGGCAAGACCGGUGCCAGCCGCCGCGGUAACACCGGCGGCUCGAGUGGUAACCGUUAUUAUUGGGUCUAAAGGGUCUGUAGCCGGCCGGAUAAGUCUCUUGAGAAAUCCAGCAGCUCAACUGUUGGGCUUUCAGGAGAUACUGUUCGGCUCGAGGCCGGGAGAGGUGAGAGGUACUUCAGGGGUAGGGGUGAAAUCUUGUAAUCCUUGAAGGACCACCAGUGGCGAAGGCGUCUCACCAGAACGGACCUGACGGCAAGGGACGAAAGCUAGGGGCACGAACCGGAUUAGAUACCCGGGUAGUCCUAGCCGUAAACGAUACUCGCUAGGUGUCGGCCACGGUGCGACCGUUGUCGGUGCCGUAGGGAAGCCGUGAAGCGAGCCACCUGGGAAGUACGGCCGCAAGGCUGAAACUUAAAGGAAUUGGCGGGGGAGCAC
rnacentral:rRNA from 1 species